GAGGGUAUAGCUCAGUGGUAGAGCACGUGCUUAGCAUGCAUGGAGUCCCAGGUUCAAUCCCCAGUACCUCUA
rnacentral:tRNA from 1 species